rnacentral:lncRNA from 1 species
GUAGAACUAUAAGAAGCUUCUCAUAAGAAAAGUACCUAGAAAGGGUAUAGAAAGAGAGAAAAUAUAUAUACCAAUUACUCCACACAUAAUAUAGCCCUUUAGUCUAACAGUUGGAAACUUCAUUCUUUGGCCUUCCGUAUUUCCUAAAUCUCUAACUAUUUGCCUCUACCUCGUUCUGUGACGUUGACUCACCCUCCUUUGAUGAGUCAUUGUUUUGUUGUCUCAGUUCAAUGAUUG